rnacentral:rRNA from 1 species
GACGAACGCUGGCGGCGUGCUUAACACAUGCAAGUCGAACGGAAAGGCCCUGCUUUUGUGGGGUGCUCGAGUGGCGAACGGGUGAGUAACACGUGAGUAACCUGCCCUUGACUUUGGGAUAACUUCAGGAAACUGGGGCUAAUACCGGAUAGGAGCUCCUGCUGCAUGGUGGGGGUUGGAAAGUUUCGGCGGGUGGGGAUGGACUCGCGGCUUAUCAGCUUGUUGGUGGGGUAGUGGCUUACCAAGGCUUUGACGGGUAGCCGGCCUGAGAGGGUGAACGGCCACAUGGGGACUGAGAUACGGCCCAGACUCCUACGGGAGGCAGCAGUGGGGAAUAUGGCACAGUGGGCGGAAGCCUGAUGCAGCAACGCCGCGUGCGGGAUGACGGCCUUCGGGUUGUAAACCGCUUUCGCCUGUGACGAAGCGUGAGUGACGGUAAUGGGUAAAGAAGCACCGGCUAACUACGUG